GUCCACGCCGUAAACGAUGAGUGCUAGUUGUCGGGCGGCAUGCCGUUCGGUGACGCAGCUAACGCAUUAAGCACUCCGCCUGGGGAGUACGGUCGCAAGAUUAAAACUCAAAGGAAUUGACGGGGGCCCCGCACAAGCGGUGGAGCAUGUGGUUUAAUUCGAAGCAACGCGCAGAACCUUACCAGCUUUUGACAUGCCUCGCUAUCUAGAGAGAUCUAGAGUUCCCUUCGGGGACGAGGACACAGGUGCUGCAUGGCUGUCGU
rnacentral:rRNA from 1 species